rnacentral:tRNA from 1 species
GAGAGUGUAGCUCAGUGAUAGAGCACAAGCUUAACAUGCAUUAGGUCCUGGGUUCAAUCCCCGGUACCUCCA